rnacentral:rRNA from 1 species
AGAGUUUGAUCAUGGCUCAGAUUGAACGCUGGCGGCAGGCCUAACACAUGCAAGUCGAACGGUAACAUUUCUAGCUUGCUAGAAGAUGACGAGUGGCGGACGGGUGAGUAAUGCUUGGGAACUUGCCUUUGCGAGGGGGAUAACAGUUGGAAACGACUGCUAAUACCGCAUAAUGUCUACGGACCAAACGGGGCUUUUAGCUCCGGCGCAAAGAGAGGCCCAAGUGAGAUUAGCUAGUUGGUAAGGUAAUGGCUUACCAGGGCAACGAUCUCUAGCUGUUCUGAGAGGAAGAUCAGCCACACUGGAACUGAGACACGGUCCAGACUCCUACGGGAGGCAGCAGUGGGGAAUAUUGCACAAUGGGGGAAACCCUGAUGCAGCCAUGCCGCGUGUGUGAAGAAGGCCUUCGGGUUGUAAAGCACUUUCAGUUGUGAGGAAAAGUUAGUAGUUAAUACCUGCUAGCCGUGACGUUAACAACAGAAGAAGCACCGGCUAACUCCGUGCCAGCAGCCGCGGUAAUACGGAGGGUGCGAGCGUUAAUCGGAAUUACUGGGCGUAAAGCGCACGCAGGCGGUUUGUUAAGCUAGAUGUGAAAGCCCCGGGCUCAACCUGGGAUAGUCAUUUAGAACUGGCAGACUAGAGUCUUGGAGAGGGGAGUGGAAUUCCAGGUGUAGCGGUGAAAUGCGU